rnacentral:rRNA from 1 species
UACGGGGGGGGGCAAGCGUUGUUCGGAAUUACUGGGCGUAAAGGGCCAGUAGGCGGCCAACUAAGUCGGAUGUGAAAUCCCCAGGCUCAACUUGGGAACUGCAUCCGAUACUGGAUGGCUUGAAUUCGGGAGAGGGAUGCAGAAUUCCAGGUGUAGCGGUGAAAUGGCGUAGAUAUCUGGAGGAACACCGGUGGCGAAGGCGGGUCUCUGGGCCGUAACUGACGCUGAGGAGCGAAAGCGUGGGGAGCGAACAGG